UACGUAGGGUGCAAGCGUUAAUCGGAAUUACUGGGCGUAAAGCGUGCGCAGGCGGCUUUGCAAGACAGAUGUGAAAUCCCCGGGCUUAACCUGGGAACUGCAUUUGUGACUGCAUGGCUGGAGUGCGGCAGAGGGGGAUGGAAUUCCGCGUGUAGCAGUGAAAUGCGUAGAUAUGCGGAGGAACACCGAUGGCGAAGGCAAUCCCCCUGGACCUGUACUGACGCUCAUGCACGAAAGCGUGGGGAGCAAACAGG
rnacentral:rRNA from 1 species